AAAUAGCUGCAUAUACAGCAAACAGAGACACUCCGAGCCACCCAGGCGUGAGUCAGCUGUCACAGUAGGGGGGCUCAGUCAUGGACCCCAGCUGCAGGGGACAAGCAGGUACUUACCUUAGCAAAUUAUCACAGUAUUUGCUAAAGGCCUGCUCAGAGCGGCAGAGCAAGAUAGAUCUGUUGAACUUUACACCCUGGGCACCUCCAUAGCACAUUGGAAGUCACGUAAGCCAAUCAGCCUCCAAUAACCUACCUGUCAAUUGAGAAUCGUGAUGAUAAUGAUGCCUGCUUCACAGUAUUGUGAUGAUUAAAUGAAAUAAUAUUUGUAAAAAAAAUGUUUGAAAAAGUGUAGAUGCUCUGUUAUUAUUUUCUACCGUCUCACAGAAAUCCCAUUUAGAAUAUCCCUCCACUCGGCAACCUGCCAAGGUGAGUUUGUAGUUUAAGGGUGAUACGGUUUGGCUGUGUCCCUACCCACUUCUCAUCUUGAAUUGUAUUUCCCAUGAUCCCCACAUGUUGUGGGAGGGACUCAGUGGGAGGUAAUUUAAUCAUGGGGGUGGUUACCCUCACGCUCUUCUUGUGAUAGUUAUGCCAUAACAAGCAAAGAUUUGUGGAUUUGUGAGACAUAAAAAUGUUUAUGAUGUGCAACUCUAGCCACCAGGAGCCAACAUUCUUUCAGUGGAUAAAAAGGAGUUCCAAUACUUUUUCUUACUAAGGAAAUGGAUUGCAAGGGAUGGUGAAUUAUUAAAAUACUCCUGCACCUGCAACUCCACCCCACAGCCUUGUGAUGCUGGCUGCUCUCUUGGUCUUGGUCUCGUCAAAGCAUCCCAAGUUUGGCUACUUUCUUCAGCAUCCGCAUAGCCCAGGGGAAGCUCCAUAUCACAGCCAAGGCUACCACGUUCUGCCUCUUCAAUAUCCAUCAGCUUCUCCCUGCUCAGACUACAUGGAGUGGAGGGUGCAGCAGCUGUGCCAGCUGAGCCCUGGUGUAUUUGGCCCAACAAGGAUAAAUCUAGCACCUUCCUCUUUAAGGGGAGGUGGAGGGAUUUAGCUCAAGAAGGAUAAAUCUAGCACCUCCCUCUCAAAGGGGGAAUGGGAGGAUUCACUGCUCCUUCUCUUUUCAAGCACUUAUCAAAUAUAUCUAGACCAGUA
rnacentral:lncRNA from 10 species